rnacentral:rRNA from 1 species
UACGUAGGGCGCAAGCGUUGUCCGGAAUUAUUGGGCGUAAAGAGCUCGUAGGCGGCUUGUCACGUCGGGUGUGAAAGCCCGGGGCUUAACCCCGGGUCUGCAUUCGAUACGGGCAGGCUAGAGUGUGGUAGGGGAGAUCGGAAUUCCUGGUGUAGCGGUGAAAUGCGCAGAUAUCAGGAGGAACACCGGUGGCGAAGGCGGCGACCUGGGCCAAUACUGACGCUGAGGUGCGAAAGCGUGGGGAGCAAACAGG